CACUCAGCCCAAUUUACUUGUGAGCCGAAGCAAAAACUCUCAUUUCCCCCAAAUCUGAUUGUGUAAAACUUGCCCUAGACUCAAACCAAACCAAAUCUGAUUUUGCUUUAGACUCACAAAUCUGAUUUCCCAUGGUGAAAGUGUGUGGGGUUCUCCUUAUCCAUUCUCAUUUCCCUCAAAUUUGAUUUUGCUCGAUCGUGUCUGAGUAAGAGAAUCUGAUUUCCCUCUCUCAAUUUCGCUCUAUAGAUCACCAUGGUCGUCUGAAGAAGAGAUCUCCAACAGUAAUCUGAUUCUAGAAACAAGCUUUGGUUUGAAUCAAUCCUUCCUCAUCUGCUACAGGUACAAGCUUAACCAUUCAAUUCUUAAUUGACGAGUUUUACAUUUUAUAGAAUUGAGAAAUCAGCAAUUCUGUCAAUACUAUAGCCUCUCUCAAUUUUAAGAAUUUUACUAUAAUUUGUAAGUAUUUCAGGGCUAUAGAAUUGCUUAUUUCUAUAGCCUCUGUUGAACUCACUGUAAUUAAUCCCACAAUCAAACAGGGCUACAUAUUUCACCUUGGUCAUUGUAUUUACUUCCUACUGCACUUGCAGUCAAGCUCGAAUGUGAAUCCUCAUUUUGCUUCUCAAAACUUGAGAUUAACAAUGUAAACAAUGACCACUGCUUUUAGGAAGUGAGAUGAUUCUAUGUAUGAUGAACAUAACAAAUUACGGCAAAAACAUUGUUCCAUGAAAAGGAAAAACAUCCCUCUCUCUCUCUCUCUCUCUCUCUGACAAGAUGUUAGAUUGAAGGAAUCAGCAAUUCUAUAGAAGUUUGAUUUCACCUCUGGCCUUACUGACUCUGGUGCCUGUGCAUUCAGAGUGAACUUUAUUUCCUCAGUUAGCUAAGUAAUUUGUUAGUUUAAUUUUAACUAGAAAGUUUACUACUUAUUACUUAACCUAGAGCACCUUAACAAAACAUAGAAAGAGCCAGUGGGGAUUGGGACAAAUCAGUUAAGUUGGGUUCAUACACUUCUGCUAUUUUGAUAUUUCCUUGAUUCUAGUGAGGUAAACAUAUGUCUGGUUUAUGCUCAAUCUGAUUGGGGUUUUCUCAACUUAUAGCAGAUGCAUUUUACCUCUUUCGACAUUAUGGAUGUUUUUCUAACGAUAUUACACAUAGCUUACUUUUGUUGUGUUUUCUUUCUUUGUCAAUCCUAUAGCUAAGAUAAGCAGUGGUAUACCAGUGUGCAAGCUCUGCAUUUAAUAAAAUUCUGAGUUUGUUUUGUUUAGAAUUGGGGAUAUCAAUCUCAAAUGUGCAAUCAAUUGGAUAUGAUUAUGGGACAUGCCUCACAUUCUCAAAUGUUGUGGGGGAAAUUUUUGUUUUCUGCUUGUAAGUUGCAUGAGGACUGCAAAUACAUCUUUUUACAUUGGAUUGAGUUUUUUGAAUGAAUUUUCUCAGAUGAUUUAAUUGAAAUUAUUGAGGAACACUACAUUUCUGCUUAGUUGGUUAAAUUGCAGUUAAGUAGCUUGCCUUUAGCAUCCAUCCUAAUGCCUUGAAAGGUUACCCUUAAUAGACUUUUAAUGCAAGAAAAUUACCCAAACAAAGAGAAAAAUUGAUUUCCACUUACUUCCAGAGCCUUCUCUGCUUCUCUUUCUAUCCAAAUAAUUGCAUGAUCAGAUGUGGCAUUGCAUGAUAAGACAAUAUGUUCAAAUCUUCCAUCUACUGGUAUGGCAGUUUUAACCUCUGGAGAAUAUCUCCCACAUCUGUUUGCAUGAAGCAACUGAGGUCUUAGUUUUAGAGCAAGCACAACUAUUGUUGCUAGCAAAUUACAAACAAACUUCUUAAGAUAAAAAAGAAGAAGAAAACAAAAAGCUUCUUAGGUACUGAAAUUACACGACAAUUGACUUCGAGCAUAGGAAACCUAUUUAUGAUAGAGGAUUUUUUCAGUCACUAAACAUUCUUAAGCAAAUAAUAGGAAAUUUUCCAAAAUACAAAAUUAAGGUGUAUUGGCCACUACCAGCAUUUGAUCUGGAUUUAUAUGGCAAUAUUGAGAAAAGGAAUUGCCAUGAGGAAUUCUUCUACAUACUAGGCAUAAUUCAGAUUGUAUAAUGCUCAUUAUCACUAACCAAAUUUGAUCACAUAAAAUAUUGCCUCUCAAAUUCUUGUAUGGCAGUUUGAAUUUAUGAACUUGUUUUUAUUUACCAUUAGUCAUGACAUUUGUGAUGUUUGGUUGAGAUUUGCCUUGUUUGCAAUUGCUUUGAUAGGGCUAAGAACUCUUUUAGUUUUUCAUGGCCUUGCUUAUCAAAACUCUAAUUUGGGGCACUUUCUUUAAUUUUCAUGGAAGAUUUUGGAAAGUCUCUUAAUUUGUUUUGGAAGUUUCUUAAAUCAAGUUUUUGGAAAGUUUCCAUUUUUAGGAAGUUUAAAUAAGAGAAGUUUCUUGAAUUAUUUUUGGAAAGUUAAACUAUGAAGGUUUCCUAGUCUAUCAUUGCAAGCUUAUGAUGUGUUAUUUUCCUUUUUGGGUUUAUUUUAUGUUCAUCUUUAGAAACGACAGAUACCAUACAAAGUAGAGGCCAAUAAUUGGUUGGGAAAAAAUGGGUGCCUAACAUCUCCCCACUUUGUACCUUAGCCCCUGAGUCUACGUGACAAUGGUGAUUAGGCAUUAUCUCAAUUUUUAACUAAGUGGAGACUCUUUUGUGAUUUGAAUCUCUAGUUCUCUGUGAGUUACGUUGGUUUGCAUAGGAUGUCAAGAGGGAGACAAUAUGAAUUAAAAUUGGCCUUCUCACAAUUUUAUAUCAGUAUGUCUCUUUCCAUAGGAUUGAAAUAGGGUAUGGCUGACAAACCAACACUCUAGGAAACAAAGUGGAAGUAAGUGGAAAUCAAUUACAUUAGAUUAAAAAUUACCCUUAAUAAACUUUUAAUAAAACUAAAAUGUAAAAAAAUUUGAGCAUUAUUUCAAAAAAAAAAAAAGUAUACAAUAUAUAUAUAUAAGGGCUCGUAUUAUGGAAGGGGGGGCUAUGGCUAUAGCUAUAGCUAUGUUGGGAGGGGUCGUGGCAGGGGGGCCAUGUCAACUCGUGAUUCCUAAGAUAGUAUGUGGUAGUUUCCAAAUGUUUGGGUAGAAAUUAAAGCUUGAUUUAGGACUGUGCUUGUAAUGUUUGUGCCUCUUACUAUUCAUUGGCCGAAAAAUAAAAUUAGGAUUUGUGGUAUUUUUUUACAUGUCUUAAAUCUCUUUGCUCUUAAUCAACAUUAAUUUUUGUUUGUUUGUCUUUUUUCUUCUUUCUGGAUAUGCAGCUUGUUGUAGAGAAGAAUUGAUGUAAUAAUAUUAGUAUCCCAAUAAGGUAAGGUUGGUUCAUAUGAUAAGCAGAAAUUUGAAGUGAAAUUUUACUAUUAUACAGUUAGCAAAAAAUUGAGAGGUGAACAAGUUGAGAUAUACCCUGGCAUUGGCUUUGCAAUAUAGUUGGAACCAAAAUAGUUGGAACAAGAUUUUGAUUUGCUCUGUUUGUUUCUUAUUUUUAUUGUUUGUUUUAUUAUUAUUUUAAAAUUUUGUUUUGAACUGUGAAAAAGUGGGAAGGAAAUCAAUGGCAACCUAAGCACAACCUAGGAGUGUGCCCCUCACUCCCAAGUCAGUGGAUUUUCAAUGGCUUAAUAGAACAAUUUUGAUGGUCCUACGCAUUUUUGGCACAGUUUAGAUGGUACCACGCAUUGUGUGCCAAUAUAGAUGCUUAGUUUGUUAUUUCAUUUUAUCAAGGUCUAUAUAUGUUUAGUUUAUUUAAAUAAAUCUGUUUCUUUUUCUUCCAAUAUAUAUAUAUAUAUAUAUGAUAUUCCAUGUCAGCUGCAAGUUCUUCAAGUUUUUUUCUUCUAGUAUUGUUGUUUAUAGUGAUCAUAUAUAUAUAUAUAUAUAUUUCUUCCCAUUAUAUUUUUCGGAUUUUGUUUUACAUGAUCAAAUUAUAUCUUAUUGUGGUCUCUGUUGGUGUUAUUUUAAUAAUCUGAGCAUAGCAGUAGUUUGUUGGCUCACUGUUGUAUUUUUUGUUUUCUUUCUCAAACCUGAAAGAAAUUGAACAUAUUUGUCUUUAAUUCUAUCUAAAGAGCCAUGUUAAUAUUCUCAUCUUUAGUACAUUGAUUUUAUUAAUAUGUUGUUCUUUAAUUUUCCAUUUCAUUACCAAAAUAAAAAACAAGCUUUCAAUUUUCUUGGCAGCCAUGUAUAACUAUGCUAAAAAUAUUCCUCCACUCAAGAGUCCAAUCUCUUUGAUUUUAAGGGUGUCUUUGGUUUAUAAAUUUUGGAGAGAUUUGCAAAAGGAAAGAAAAAAUAUAGGUGAAAUGUAAAUGAAUUAUAAUUACAUUUCACUGAUAUUUCACACACCUUUUCGCUUUCUAAAUCUCUCUCCAAAUUCAUGAACCAAAUAUAGUUUAAAGGUAACAGUUGAUAUUUUGUUUUAAAAUUUUUGCAAGCACUAUUUGUCUUCAGCUAACAGUGUAUAAUAUCCUUACAAAUAUUCCUCUACUUUAAGUCAUGCACUUGUUAUUGUGAUACUUUGCAAACUCAUUCUUUUUAUGGAUGUGUACAAAAAUAGUUAAAGAAAUAGAAAGAUGGACAAGAAUUGGAUUGAUUUUCUAAAUCGGAUGUCAGUUGAUUACGUGAAUGGAAUUGAUAACUUCUUGAGAUUUGCAUACAAUAAUAGAGAUGAAAGUUCAUCUAUUAGUUGUCCGUGUCGAUUUUGUAGUAAUCGAUACAAUUUUUCAUGAGAGGCUGUAAAGGAGCAUCUUAUUUCCAAUGGGUUCGUAAAAAAGUACAAAAAUUGGAUUCGUCAUGAAAAAUCCUAUGUCUAAUUACAUGCUAACCAAGAAAACCAAACAUUAAUGGUGGAUUCAGCGACCAGAGAUGAUGUGGUUAGGAUGGUACAAGAGGCCUUGGGAAUUCCGCAUAUGUGUGUUGAGAAUGAUGAACCAACUGCAAGUGAUCCAGCCCAAGCAAGGGCAAGUGAUCCAAGCCAUGUAGAGGAAGAUGACCUGGUUCGGAUAGGGGAAAAUGAUGAAACUUUGAAAUAUUUUAAACUUUUGGAAGAUGCACAAACUGAUUUGUGCCCGGGUGUCAGAAAUUUACUUUACUAUCAUUCAUUGUUCGAAUUUUGCAUAUGAAGGUGCUCAAUUAAUGGACCGACAAGUUCGUUGACAUGUUACUUGAACUUUUGAAUGAGGCUUUUCCUACGGGCAUAUAACUUCCAAGUUCAUAUUAUCAAGCUCAGAAGGUUACUACAGAUUCGGGUUUCACAUAUGAGACUUUUGAUGCUUGCCCCAAUAGUUGUAUGUUGUUUAGAAAAGAGGAUACAAAACUUGAUAAAUGUGUUAUAUGCAGUAGUUCUAGAUGGAAACAAAACGGUGGUGUUGGAAAUGAUAAAAGGGAAUCUUGUAAAUGGGUAGUAGCAAAACAGAUGAAGUAUUUCCUUUUGAAGCCAAGUUGCAGAGAUUGUUUAUGUCAUCGAAAAUGGCAAAGCUCAUAUUCAUUGUUUGAAACAAAUAACAAAAUUACAAGCUUGCAGAGUACUUCUAGAUGGAAACAAAUAACAAAAUUACAAGCUUGCCUACAACAAAUGUCCCCAGCUAAGCAGACUGAAAAGGAAACUAAAGAGUUGACCAAUCAGGUUCAUUGUUUAAUUUUUCUUGUUCUUCUAUUGGUUUGCAUCACCCAUAUUUUAUACAUAUUUGAUUAUUGCUUUUUGAAUUGCUAGUAUUGUAAUCUCCAACUUUGGGCUGCUUGUGUUACCUAGAGCAUUGAAUCAAGAUGAUUUAUGUUUUUUUGUUACUGUUAAUUUAAUAACCCAUGUUGGGUAGUUUAUUUAUUUAUUUAUUUAUUUACUUGACAGGUCUUAAUGAAAUUGGAGUUGAUGUUGCAUCUCUAGUCAGUAUUCGUAGUAGUUUUUUGUUUUUAUAAUGAAUUUAUAGUGUUAGUUGAUGCUAUUUUUCAUGUAUUAAAUUAGUUUUGAAUUUAACUCUCACUCUUGACAAUUAUCGGUAUCACCCAAAGGAAGAAUUGUUAGGAAGACGACCAAGGACGCUAACAGGUAUCUUGUGUUAUAUUAUAAGUAAAUUGAUAUCCAUAUUUCUUAUGUAUUAACAUUUUCAUAUUUCUUUCAUUUUAGGAUGAAGCAGAAAAGAAAGACUUUUAAGGCCUCUUGUAUUAUGGAUGAGGUUUUACGUGUGCGGGCAAGUCCCUCACUACUUUGCACUAUUGAUGAAGCAUCUUCUUCAUAUAUUUCGAGAUAAAUGUUACUGUUAAAGAUGAAACAAAAAAGGAAGACCUUUAAGGCCCCUUGCACUAUGGAUAAGGCUUUACGUGUGCGGGCAAGUCCAUCGCUACCUCGCACUAUGGAUGGAGCAUCUUCUCCAUAUGUUUCGAGGAUGAAGCGAAAGAGGAAGACCUUUAAGGCCCCUUGCACUAUGGAUGGGGCUUUACAUGUGCGGGCAAGUCCCUCGCUACCUCGCUCUAUGGUUGGAGCAUCUUCUUCAUCUGUUUCAUCUCCACAUAUAGUAUCAACUACCUCAACAUGAUGAGGUCGAGGAUUUGCCCAAGGGAUAAAGGAAUGGGGUACAGGCACUAAGAUCCAAGUAAAAUUUGAUGAUAAGUUUCAGCCAGUGGAGGAUGAUAGCGAAAAGUUGAAAGGACAAUUGGGGUUGAUCGUGCGCAGCGGGCAUAGAGUCCCACUUACAUGUCUCAGUUGGAAUGUGAUGCAUGUUGAUAUCAAGGAGAAUAUUUGGCAAGAGGUGAAGGACAACUUGGUAUACUGUCCAAAUGAAUUCACGGAGGUUUGUAUGCGACUUUGUAGGACAUCGUGGAAAGAUCAUAAAAGUAAGACAAAGUCCAAGUAUUGGGUUCCAUUCAAGAAUAAUCCGAACAUUGCUUCUAGAGUACUUAGUAAACAUAGUGCCAACCCAGCGGAGGAAACUUAUCCAAUAUUGGGCGAGUAAAGAAGUACAUGCGAUUACUAAGAAGAAUUCUUCUAAUCGGAGAUUUCGUGGGCCUCCACAUACGACCGGAAGGACAUCUUUCUCAGAUAUUCGUUUCAAUGUAUUGAUCUUGUGGCUGCACCUAAGGCAUCAUUUGAUAUUGCAUUUGGUGCUACAGCUGCAGCCGCACCUAGUGCACUUAGUGUGACACUUGUGGCUGUAGCUGUGGCUGCACCUAGUGCUGCACUUGUGACUUAUUAUGUUGUGAAGACUUGAGCUCCUAACUUGGAAAAAAACUAUAAAUGACACAUAAAUGAGAGCAGAUAGAUAAGAUGAGUCUUUGGAAGAGGGCACACAAACUGAAUGAUCCCGAUAUGGUGGCAAUUGUGGAGGAAUACAAUCUGCAUCUUUGGAAAGUUCCUAAGGAGCAACAUACGAUUGAGUAUUGCGAUGGGAUUUACCAUAAAAUCGUUGGGAAUGAUGGACAUGGGUAUUGCAAGACCUAUGGAAGAGGAGUGCCCUGGAGUGCGGUGUAUGCACUAGGCAGCGGCCUAUCCCAAUCAUUAGCAGCCCCUUCAUUUAUUGAUGAGAUCACACAGCGUGUGACACAAGACGUUGAGUCUAGGUUCACUACAACAAUCAAGAACCUCACGGCACGUGUUUUGUUCUUAGAGUCACAGGGUGUGGCUGGGAGUAUGAGCUUGAGAGAGGUGCAAUACUUACAAAUUAACAAAUUUUACGUUUUAUCAAUUUGUAUAUAUACAUAUGGAAAUUAUUAACACAUUAUACUAACAUAUGGAAAUUUUACGUUUUAUCAAUUGCAAAUGGGUUUUCUUCAGGGACAUCAUUUACCUAGAAAGCAAGUAACAUGCAUAUGCAUAAAGGGUAUAUCAUUUGCUGUGGAAUGAGUUCAGACAAUCAUUGUCUUGAUCCAUACAUUUUAAUGAGUAGUUAUAAUUAUCUGAGUACAGGUUGUCACACAAUGGAAUUUUAAUUUAUAUCACAAUUUUUUUCUUUGUUAUGCUAGAAUCUUAUUCAAAAUACGAAUGAGAUAAGACUGGAGUUAUAAUCCUUCAUUUUUUAGGGGCUUGGCUCAUCUAAAUGACACCUCAAGAGGCCUUGAAAAUUUGAUUGGGCUGCAGGCCUAUGAACCGAAUACCGAGAGAGAGCCAAGUUCUGUAUGCUGAUUGACCCAA